rnacentral:rRNA from 1 species
GAUGCCUUUAACCGGGUGUCGGGGGCGGACGGCACGUUUACUUUGAACAAAUUUGAGUGCUCAAAGCAGGCCUAUGCCUGAAAAUUCUUGCAUGGAAUAAUGGAAUAGGACUUCGGUUCUAUUUUGUUGGUUUUCGGAUCCGAAGUAAUGGUUAAGAGGGACAGACGGGGGCAUUUGUAUGGCGGUGUUAGAGGUGAAAUUCUUGGAUCGCCGCCAGACAAACUACAGCGAAAGCAUUUGCCAAGGAUGUUUUCAUUGAUCUGGAGCGAAAGUCAGAGGUUCGAAGACGAUCAGAU